rnacentral:rRNA from 1 species
UACGGAGGGUGCAAGCGUUAUCCGGAUUCACUGGGCUUAAAGGGUGCGUAGGUGGCUAGGUAAGUCAGUGGUGAAAUCCCCGAGCUUAACUCGGGAACUGCCGUUGAUACUAUCUGUCUUGAAUAUCGCGGAGGUAAGCGGAAUAUGUCAUGUAGCGGUGAAAUGCUUAGAUAUGACAUAGAACACCGAUGGCGAAGGCAGCUUACUACACGAUCAUUGACACUGAGGCACGAAAGCGUGGGGAGCAAACAGG